rnacentral:rRNA from 1 species
ACGAACGCUGGCGGCGUGCUUAACACAUGCCAGUCGAACGAUGAAGCCUAGCUUGCUAGGUGGAUUAGUGGCGAACGGGUGAGUAAUACGUGAGUAACCUACCUUUAACUCUGGGAUAAGCCCGGGAAACUGGGUCUAAUACCGGAUACGACCAAUCUCCGCAUGGGGUGUUGGUGGAAAGCGUUAUGUAGUGGUUAUAGAUGGGCUCACGGCCUAUCAGCUUGUUGGUGAGGUAACGGCUCACCAAGGCGACGACGGGUAGCCGGCCUGAGAGGGUGACCGGCCACACUGGGACUGAGACACGGCCCAGACUCCUACGGGAGGCAGCAGUGGGGAAUAUUGCACAAUGGGCGCAAGCCUGAUGCAGCGACGCCGCGUGAGGGAUGACGGCCUUCGGGUUGUAAACCUCUGUUAGCAGGGAAGAAGAGAGAUUGACGGUACCUGCAGAGAAAGCGCCGGCUAACUACGUG